GAUGAAGAACGCAGCGAAAUGCGAUAAGUAAUGUGAAUUGCAGAAUUCAGUGAAUCAUCGAAUCUUUGAACGCACAUUGCGCCCAUUAGUAUUCUAGUGGGCAUGCCUGUUCGAGCGUCAUUUCAACCCUUAAGCCCCUGUUGCUUAGUGUUGGGAGCCUACGGUACCGUAGCUCCUCAAAGUUAGUGGCGGAGUCGGUUCGCACUCUAGACGUAGUAGAUUUUAUUUUUAUCUCGCCUGUAGUGUGUGCCGGUCCCCUGCCGUAAAACCCCCCAAUUAUUAAAGGUUGACCUCGGAUCAGGUAGGAAUACCCGCUGAACUUAAGCAUAUCAAUAAGCGGAGGA
rnacentral:misc_RNA from 1 species